GGGAAGUCGGUGAGAAUCCGACACAGUGGCGCUACUGUGUGGCCUCGCGAGAGCGAGCCGAGUCAGACC
rnacentral:ncRNA from 1 species